AUGUUAUCUCUUACAGAAUCUCCAGUUGUCUCCAGUCCCUUCCUGCCUGACACACCGUGACAGGAUGAGUGUGCAAAUGCACUUUAAUUCAGCUCAGCUGAAUGAGUGUCAGCGUGAUUUUGAUGUCACACUUAUAUUCUACAAUUCAUUUUAAUUGUGAAUUCAUUCUAAAGUGGAAGAACUUAGAAGAAUUGUAAAUUCUUCAAUUUAUUUGUUGUGCAUUGUCUUUCCUUUCCUCUUUAUUCUUCAAACAUGGGUGUUUAAUCACAGAAUGAGAUUAAUAUCUCGUCCUGUAAUGCUGCUGGGAGGUAGUCAUGGUAUUUCACAUCAGUAAGAUCUCAUAGAGAGGAAGACAUCUUCAUGAACUUCUGCUUUUCUUUGACUGCAUUGCUCUGAGAGCUCCAGAAAUGUUCGUGCUCCAUAUAACAUCCUUCAUCAUUAUCCUCAGCUCUGUGUUUCUACACACUCACUCAGCUGAUAAUAUCUACUCUUCUGUGAUGCCUCAGACAGUAACAGCUCUGACAGGCUCUUGUGUGCAGAUUCCUUGCACAUUCAGCGUCUCUGGUUUUGAGGACAAACGUAACGGGUCACGUUUUAUUUAUGGGAUCUGGCUAAAACACACCACAGCAUGCUAGCAAAGACAGUUUUAUAGCUUUUAAUAGCAGUGAAAACAUCAUUAGAGGAUUCAGUGACAUUCAGAUGACUGGAGAUCUCAAUAAGAGGAACUGCACAACUGUCUUCUAUAACAUCAUGAAGAAUCAUUCAGACAUCUAUUACUUCAGACUGCAAAUGGAGCCAGAUGUGUUCAGAGCAACAUUUAACCCCGGGACAGAUGUUUCAAGCAAGACUGUGAGGAUCAAUGUCAGAGAUUCAACACAACUUCCUCACCUGAAACCCACUGAUCUGAAAAAAGGAAGGAUGGAGGGAACUACAGUAAAUCUGAGCUGCUCUGCUGAAGCCCCCUGCCCCAAACAACCUCCUACAAUAUCCUGGUCUAACAUCCCUGAAUCUGCCAACAUUACAACACAGUUACAGGAUAAAACCCAGUCAGUGUUUUCAUACGUGACCUUCCAAGCUUCAUACAAAGAUCACAGGAAGAACAUCUCCUGCACUGCUACAUAUCCAAGAAAUACACCUGAUGCCUCAACUGUGAAGAGCACCGUGAUGCUACGAGUCCAGUUUUCUCCAAAAUAAACUCAUCACCAUCGAUCGAUCUGAUUCAGUCUCCGUUGGUACAAAUGUGACUUUGACCUGCAGAAGUAAAGCCAGUCCAUCAAAUAACUUGAACUACACCUGGUACAAACGUGGAAAGGAGAUGCCAAUAGCUCAGGAAAAGAAGAUUAAUUUUAUUUUAAAUUACAGUAAUACAGGAUUGUACUUCUGCAGAGCACAGAAUAAACAUGGCAAUCAGUCAUCAGCAGAGAUUCAGCUCACAGCUGAAGGACAAGAUGGACACUCUAUGACUGUGAUCGCUGGUUGUGUGGGAGGAAUUGCGGCAGUGCUCAUGCUCUCUGCUAUUGGAUUUUGUACAAGCAGGACCAGGAAAAAGACACACAGGGGAGACAAUGCUGGAGAAAAAGAUUGCCUAAAUCAGAACAACAGGAUCUCUGAUGAUCAAAGUGUGCGUGACUGUGAAACUGAGUUCAGUUCUCAGAUCGACCACAUUACAGAGAACGGUUCAACAGAAGAAGACAACAAUGAAAAAGGCUCAGAUGUAGUAUAUACACAGGUCCACGUGCUACACAAAAAACCAAAAGCCAUCAGUGUUCUACCUGAGAGCAUUUAUGCUCAGGUGAAAGUCUAAGUGUUUUUUUUUCCUUUCUGUUUUGAUGGUUCCUUUAGACACUCUGUUGACUGUAAAAACCUUUGGAACAUGUCAACUAACUCUCAGAGUAUACUGUUAAAAAUAAAUGUAAUUUUACAGUUAAUGGUCUGUAUUAUUUUACAG